GGCUUGUGCUUUACUGCAUGUGGUCUCUGCGUGUGCAGAGAUAGACCACUGGAUAGUCACUUUCAUAUAUCCUCCUUUUUUUGCAUGGUGUAAAGUGCUUUACUGAGAACCUGAUGAAAUCCUGACGUCUGGCCACCUGAUAACCUGCCCACUUGACCCUUUCCCGUCCUCCCUACUCCAGACCAUCUCAGGAGACCUUCUCACAUUCCCCACUUCCCUCAUCAACUCAUCCCUGACCCCUGGCUGCGUCCCAUCUGACUUCAAGCAGGCCAAAGUCGCUCCCCUCCUCAAGAAACCAACACUCGGCGCGGCCCCUCUGACGUCAAAAACUACAGACCAGUAGUGACACGCAUUUCGGCGAGCCUGGAAGAUAUCUCAGCUUGGAUGUAGACCCAUCACCUCAAGCUCAACCUUGACUAAAUGGACCUGCUCUUCCUCCUGGGAAAAGCCUGCCCGCUCCAAGACCUCUCCAUCACGGUUGACAACUCCAUGGUGUUUCCCUCCCACAGUGCUAAAAACCUUUCCGUGGCCCUGGACAACACCCUGUCGUUCUCUGCAAACAUCAAAGCAGUGACUCGCUCCUGCAGGUUCAUGGUGAACAACCUUGGUAUGAACUUUCCUCACAAAGAAAGUGGCUCAGGUCCUAAUCAAGGCACUUGUUAUCUCCCUUCUAGACCACUGCAACUCCCUGUUGGCUGGGCUCCCUGAUUGUGCCAUCAAACUCCUGAAACGUAUCUAGAAUGCUGCAGCCCGCCUGGUGUUCAAAAUUCUGAAGUUAUCCCAUGUCACCCAGCUCCUCGGCACAUUCCAACGGCUUCCAGUCAAAGCUCAAGUCAUCUUCAAAACCCUAGUGGAGCAGCAUGGGGAAUCGAGCACUCCAUUCCGCCACCUCUAAUCUCUUGGCCCUCUCAUUCCUACGGGUGGGCAGCUCCCACUCAGCCCAAUCAAAUCUCCUCUCUGUCCUGGCACCCAAAUGGUAGAAUAAGCCUUCCCAUAAAGUCAUGACAGCAGAGUCCCUGCCCAUCUUUCAAAAACAUUUAAAACACUACCUCUUUGAAGAGUAUCUUAAAUAACUCACAUGGAGUUCUUUAAAAAAGAAGAAAAUGCCAUUUCUCUUUUCCAUGAGCACUGACUUGAUAUGUACUUGAUACGGAUGUGAUGUAUUUUUGUCUCAUCUAGCUACAUUAAGAUGAGGGCACAAAUUGUAAGUAUCUCUGGAUAAAAGCUAAUCGCUAACUGGCUAAAAUGUAAUGUAAAAAUGUAAAACAAACUUACAAAGAGGGAAACACGUAGAAGGACUAUCCAUACCAAACUUGAAAUUGUAUUUCGAAGCACUAACAUUUCGUCCCAUCCUAAAUUGGUUUAGACAUGAUUAUUCUGCCCCCUGACUGAGUAUAGAGAGAAAAAUAUGGUGUCUCAUAUUGCCCUGGAAGAGGUGUUAUUCACUGAUAUAUCCAUUAAACAAUUUAAACUAAGUUUUGGUCCUAUUAUUGCUCGCACAAUAUUCGCCGCAAAAUGUAAGAACAAUGUAACUGGGAUUCCUCCAAUAUUUCACAAUAAUGCCUUGCGAUCUGGUUGGCAUCCAUUUGCAUCUCCCCAAUGGUCCAAAUGUGGAAUCUGUAGCCUUAGCGAUAUCAUGGGCAGUAAUGGUUUGAGAACAAUUCAACAUUUGAAAGACACAUACACAUUACCAGGCAACACAUUUUUUUAUAUAUUUACAAUUUAGGUCAGCUAUGCUGGCCUGUAGUGUCCCUUGGGAAACAAACCAUCCAAUGAUAGGAUUUAGAAAUACAUUUAAGUUUGGCUAGGCGGGGUGGGGUGGGAUACAUAGUUUCCGGGUGAGGAAAGAGGAUGCAUACAGGUGGAUGGGGACUGUAGGUUGGGGUUAUUUUUGUAUGCAUUUCUUUGAUUGUUUUUGUACUUGUAACAAAAAUGACAAAAGUACACUGAUUCACGACAUUAGCAGCCUGGUGGUCCAAAAUAGCAUAAUUGGUGCAUUUUAACACCAAUAAACCCAUCUGUUUAAAAAUGAAUUUAGUAUAUGUCAUUCUAGCAAACCAGGCAACUAAAAGAAACUGUCAGUGUCAAUGUUUGUGUUCCUUUAUAGCUUGUUAGCUAGCCAACAUUAAGUUAGCUGGCUAGCCAGUUCAAAUAAUGACUAUAUCAUAUAGCUGACAAAAUCUUAACUUUCGCUCAUUUGUAUUCAUUAUUACAGGAAAAUAAACUCGCAACAAGACCAUGGUUUACAAGUUAAUGGCAAACUAAUUAUAGUAAAUAGCUUACGGUUGUGAGUGUGACGAAAUAAAAGCAGGGCAUUCCACCAGAGAAUUUUAGAACUUGGACAUUGUCUCAUUGGCCUAUCGUUAUAUCCUAAUUUGACUUUGGUGCAAGUCAUUUUGUUCUUCACAUUACCGUCUUUGAUAAACACACACUAUAUAAAAUAAAAUCUGUGUUUAUUUGUUACAUGCACAUUUCUGCCCAAGAACUCAUUUUGAUUUAAAAGAAUGUUUACUUCCAAAUGCAUUUCUGGUGAAGUAGUUAUGCGUGACAUAUACCUAGUUUCCUGAAACAAGUCACAUACACCAUGCAGUUUUGAUGCUUGCAUCCCAUAAUAAAGAAGCAGAAUCCAGCUGAGAAAUGUGCUGUACAGUAUGUAGCAUGCAUGUGUACAUGUUGAAACACAAAGUUGAGAAGAGGGUAAUGAAUAAAAUAUGAAUAAUCUGCCAUGUC